GACGAACCGAGCAAACGUUAUUCGGAAUCACUGGGCUUAAAGGGCGCGUAGGCGGGCAUCCAAGUCUGUGGUGAAAUCCGGCAGCUUAACUGUCGAACUGCCGUGGAUACUGGGUGUCUCGAGGGAGGUAGGGGCGUGCGGAACUAUUGGUGGAGCGGUGAAAUGCGUUGAUAUCAAUAGGAACUCCGGUGGCGAAGGCGGCACGCUGGACCUCUUCUGACGCUGAGGCGCGAAAGCCAGAGGAGCAAACGGG
rnacentral:rRNA from 1 species